GCAGCUGGAAGAUGGCGGCGUCCGUGGUCUGUCGGACUGCUACCGCAGGGGCACGAGUGCUAUUGCGCGCCCGCUGCUCGCCGGCCCUGCUGCGGACGCCAGCCUUGCGGAGUACGGCAACCUUCGCUCAGGCGCUCCAGUUCGUGCCGGAGACGCAGGUUAGCCUGCUGGACAACGGCCUGCGUGUGGCCUCCGAGCAAUCCUCUCAGCCCACUUGCACGGGAACAAAGAAUCGGCCUGGCAGUGCCCUGGAGAAGGAGGUGGAGAGCAUGGGGGCCCAUCUUAAUGCCUACAGCACCCGGGAGCACACAGCUUACUACAUCAAGGCGCUGUCCAAGGAUCUGCCGAAAGGUAACACCUGGAGGAAGAGGUGGGGACAGAGGGCAGGGGAGCAGAGGACAGCUACCUAGGAGCCCCUGGCUGACCACAGAAUCAUAUUACCCUUAGCAUAUGGCUUUGCAGCCGGGCAACUAGGGGUGGGCAGCAGGAGAUGCCAGGCCUGGGGAUUUUGUGCUGUCAUUGGUCUGCAGUGGUCCACCUGGCACCUAAACAUGUCCUCUUGAAUCUAGCUGUGGAGCUCCUGGGUGACAUUGUGCAGAACUGUAGUCUGGAAGACUCACAGAUUGAGAAGGAACGUGAUGUGAUCCUGCGGGAGAUGCAGGAGAAUGACGCAUCUAUGCGAGAUGUGGUCUUUAACUACCUGCAUGCCACAGCAUUCCAGGGCACACCUCUAGCCCA
rnacentral:sRNA from 1 species